AUCACAGAUGCGCCGUAGCUCCACACACUUGGGCCGGAUGGAGUCCACCGCAUAGUGGUUACUCUGGAUUAACUGGUCCCCAUGCAGAGCGUGCAGCUGUGCCUUCUCCAGAGAUUCCUGUCAAAUGCAGCACAUGUUUUAGACAUUCACAGCUGCUGGGAGGGAUCAAACCCGGACCUUUGGCUCGUCCGCCAGCAAUGAUGCAAAUCUAACCCAAAUUAGACAGGCUCUUCAGUUCAGUUAGCAGCUGCUCAAUGCGACCAGGCCCGUCUCCGGUGUCUGAAAGUGCCAGCAAAGUCUCCAUCAAACUGUCCAGAGACAUUUUCACCUUCGCAAACACAGACGCACAAAAACAUACAGCAG